rnacentral:tRNA from 2 species
GCGGGUGUAGCAAAAUGGUUAUGCUCCAGCUUCCCAAGCUGGCCACGAGGGUUCGAUUCCCUUCACCCGCUCCA